AGUGGUUGCUGGGCGACCACGGAGAGAAAGCCGGGACUUGAGGUGGUCUCCUAGCAGGAGGAGCGAGAGAGCCCAGCAGCGAUACGGUGGUUUUCGACCCAGCUAGGGGCCAGGCCGUGCGAUUGGGAGCCCGGGGCAGCCCCCCGCGCAGUCACCACGACGCGGCACCCGUGGACGGGCGUUGGCUCUGCGUGGUGGGCGGCUGGGACGGGUCUCGCCGCUUGGCCACAGUGACCGCACUGGACACAGAGCGCGGUGUGUGGGAGGCGUGGACAGGGACCCCUGGUGACUGCCCCCCCGCCGGCCUCAGUAGUCACACCUGCACCCGAAUCUCUGACCGAGAGCUGCAGGUGGCUGGCCGGGAGGGCGGUAUCCACACUCAGCGACGCUAUGGAAGCAUCUACACAUUAAGGCUGGACCCCAGCGCCCGCACCUAUUGGAGGAAACACCUGUUGCUCCUCAUUUGAUGGAACAGCUUGCAAGGCUUGUGAGCAGUGGGCAGGGGUCCCAGAAGGGGCCCCAUGGACUACGGCAUCACUCAUGUUCUGUGGUCGGGCCCUUUGCUGUGCUGUUUGGUGGAGAAACUCUGACCAGAGCUAGAGACACCAUCUGCAAUGAUCUCUACAUCUAUGAUACCCGCACAUCUCCUCCUCUGUGGUUCCACUUCCCCUGUGCAGAUCGUGGGAUGAAACGCGUGGGCCAUCGCACCUGCCUUUGGAAUGAUCAGCUUUACCUGGUUGGGGGUUUUGGUGAGGAUGGCAGGACAGCCAGUCCACAGGUUUGCAUCCUGGACUUUAUCUAAAUAGUGCCAAGACACAUCACUAAGCCUCGUUUUGUUUUGCUUUGUUGCAAACCUAUAAAGCGUUAUCACCAGAGCUAUCUGCUUCACUUCAAAUGCUUAUUAAAUUUCAAUCUGAGACU
rnacentral:sRNA from 1 species